rnacentral:rRNA from 1 species
UACGAAGGGGGCUAGCGUUGCUCGGAAUCACUGGGCGUAAAGCGCACGUAGGCGGCUUUUUAAGUCAGGGGUGAAAUCCUGGAGCUCAACUCCAGAACUGCCUUUGAUACUGAAGAUCUUGAGUCCGGGAGAGGUGAGUGGAACUGCGAGUGUAGAGGUGAAAUUCGUAGAUAUUCGCAAGAACACCAGUGGCGAAGGCGGCUCACUGGCCCGGUACUGACGCUGAGGCACGAAAGCGUGGGGAGCGAACAGG